AUAUUUCCUUUUACAGAAUGCUACAAAAAGGAGUGACAUUUUCUUUUACAAAACGUAACAAUGAAGAGUAUUACUCCUUCUAUAAAAUGCUUCGAAAAAGGUGUGAUAUUUCCUUUUACAAAAUGUAA